rnacentral:rRNA from 1 species
UACGUAGGGCGCAAGCGUUGUCCGGAAUCACUGGGCGUAAAGGGCGCGUAGGUGGCCCGUUAAGUGGCUGGUGAAAUCCCGCGGCUCAACUGCGGGGCUGCCGGUCAUACUGGCGAGCUAGAGCACGGUAGGGGCAGAUGGAUUCCCGGUGUAGCGGUGGAAUGCGUAGAGAUCGGGAAGAAUACCAGUGGCGAAGGCGUUCUGCUGGGCCGUUGCUGACACUGAGGCGCGACAGCGUGGGGAGCAAACAGG